rnacentral:rRNA from 1 species
GGAUGAACGCUAGCGGCAGGCUUAACACAUGCAAGUCGAGGGGUAACACGGAGUGCUUGCACUUUGGUGACGACCGGCGGAUGGGUGAGUAACAGGUGUGCAACCUACCUUGUAUUGGAGGAUAGCCCAAGGAAACUUGGAUUAAUACUUCAUAAUAUUAUUGAUUGGCAUCGAUUAAUAAUUAAACAUUAGGAUACAAGAUGGGCACGCCCUCUAUUAGUUAGUUGGUAAGGUAACGGCUUACCAAGGCAUUGAUAGAUAGGGGUCCUGAGAGGGAUAUCCCCCACACUGGUACUGAGACACGGACCAGACUCCUACGGGAGGCAGCAGUGAGGAAUAUUGGACAAUGGAGGCAACUCUGAUCCAGCCAUGCCGCGUGCAGGACGACGGCCUUAUGGGUUGUAAACUGCUUUUAUAGGGGAAGAGCUUCAAGCUUGCGAGCUUGACCGACGGUACCCUACGAAUAAGGAUCGGCUAACUUCGUGCCAGCAGCCGCGGUAAUACGAAGGAUCCAAGCGUUAUCCGGAAUUAUUGGGUUUAAAGGGUCCGUAGGCGGGCUAUUAAGUCAGCGGUGAAAUCUUUCGGCUUAACCGGAAGCUUGCCGUUGAAACUGGUAGUCUAGAGUCAUUGUGCAGUGGUUGGAACGUGCAGUGUAGUGGUGAAAUACAUAGAUAUUGCGCAGAACACCGAUUGUGAAGACAGAUCACUAACAAUGUACUGACGCUGAGGGACGAAAGCGUGGGGAGCAAACAGGAUUAGAUACCCUGGUAGUCCACGCCGUAAACGAUGGUCACUAGCUGCUCGGGAUAAUUGCGUCCUGAGUGGUUGAGCGAAAGUAUUAAGUGACCCACCUGGGGAGUACGUUGGCAAGAAUGAAACUCAAAGGAAUUGACGGGGGCCCGCACAAGCGGUGGAGCAUGUGGUUUAAUUCGAUGAUACGCGAGGAACCUUACCAGGGCUUAAAUGUAGAUUGACAGGAGUGGAAACACUCCCUUCUUCGGACAAUUUACAAGGUGCUGCAUGGUUGUCGUCAGCUCGUGCCGUGAGGUGUCAGGUUAAGUCCUAUAACGAGCGCAACCCCUGUCGUUAGUUGCCAGCGAGUCAUGUCGGGAACUCUAACGAUACUGCCGGUGCAAACCGUGAGGAAGGUGGGGAUGACGUCAAAUCAUCACGGCCCUUACGUCCUGGGCUACACACGUGCUACAAUGGAUGGGACAGAGAGCAGCCACUGGGCGACCAGGAGCGAAUCUACAAACCCAUUCUCAGUUCGGAUCGAAGUCUGCAACCCGACUUCGUGAAGCUGGAAUCGCUAGUAAUCGCAGAUCAGCCAUGCUGCGGUGAAUACGUUCCCGGGCCUUGUACACACCGCCCGUCAAGCCAUGGAAGCCGGGGGUGCCUGAAGUUCGUUUCCGCAAGGAGCGACCUAGGGCAAAACUGGUAACUAGGGC